rnacentral:misc_RNA from 1 species
CCCUGAGCAUGUGAAUGGGCCCUGGUACAUGCUGAGGGAAUGUACUUCGCUGGUUUGAAGAAACAUGCCCCACAUUAUACUCGUUCACUUGAAAAUAAAAUUUGAUCUUGAAUUAGAAUUCUUCCAUACCAUUUUCCCCCACUUGGAAUAACUCUUCCUUGUAUUUUGAAGUGUUGAAGAAUCAUAACUUUAUUGUAAAAGUGCACCAUAUCUCUUCCUUGAAUGGUAUCAACAAUAUUGAUUGAAUUGAAAACUUCAUGUUGUCCUUUGUGUCCAUAGUAGCAUCUAGACAAAUAAAAUCAACCAAAACAAUAGGAAUUAAAGGGUAAGAAAAAUUUUUGGUCUCCAUCAUCUCCAUGACUUGUUUUUCUGUAGGUUCCAAUAUUGUCCCCAUAAUUUGUUUUUCGUCAACUUCUAUUGGAGUAUGUAGGAGGUUAUAUUUUCCCUUUGACACAUUCCUCAAGCUCUUAAUAUUCAAUUAUAGUAAAAGGAAAUUCAAUUAAAGUUUUUAAUUCAAAUUCCUCAAACUUAGGCUCCUCCACUUCAAGUUGCAUUGUUGAAUCUUGAAGCUCCUUUUGUUGUUUACUUUCUUGUUUCACAACCACUAAGGGCUUUGGUUGAACCUCCCGUUGACAAUAUUUUUUUUGUUGGAAUAAAAUCUUUUCAUAAUACAAAGGCAGAAAUUCUUGUUCCAACAAGUAUUUCAUGAUGAAUAACGUACGAACUACUCCCCUUCCUUCUCUUGCUCUCCUAGAUUUAAAUUGUUUCCACCAAGCAGAAGCACCUCCUUUCAAGCGGC